rnacentral:rRNA from 1 species
CGUAGGCACCAAGCGUUGUCCGGAUUUAUUGGGCGUAAAGAGCUCGUAGGCGGUUCAGUAAGUCGGGUGUGAAAACUCUGGGCUUAACCUAGAGACGCCACUCGAUACUACUGUGACUAGAGUUCGGUAGGGGAGCGGGGAAUUCCUAGUGUAGCGGUAAAAUGAGCAGAUAUUAGGAGGAACACCGGAGGCGAAGGCGCCGCUCUGGGCCGAUACUGACGCUGAGGAGCGAGAGAGUGGGUAGCAAGCAGGAUUAGAUGCCCUGGUAGUCCACGCCGUAAACGGUGGGCACUAGGUGUGGGCUCCAACCAACGGAGUCCGCGCCGUCGCAAACGCAUUAAGUGCCCCGCCUGGGGAGUACGGCCGCAAGGUUA